rnacentral:rRNA from 1 species
CGGGGUAGGAGUAACGCGUGAGGAACCUGCCUCAAAGAGGGGGACAACAAGUUGGAAACGACUGCUAAUACCGCAUAAGCCCACGGCUCGGCAUCGAGCAGAGGGAAAAGGAGUGAUCCGCUUUGAGAUGGCCUCGCGUCCGAUUAGCUAGUUGGUGAGGUAACGGCCCACCAAGGCGACGAUCGGUAGCCGGACUGAGAGGUUGAACGGCCACAUUGGGACUGAGACACGGCCCAG